rnacentral:misc_RNA from 1 species
AUUUUUGCAAUUUGGCAAGACUCGAAUGACCCAGACGAUUGUUAAGAAGAUCAGCAGAAGUGGUAGAGGCAAGAGCAACUAGAGAAUUUGAAGAAGAAAGAUGGUACAACUCUUGUGACUCACAUCCUACUACAAUCAUCUUCCCCGUACUCUGGUCCUGCACAACAACAGAGUCAGUUGUAAAGGUGACAGAACAAUUAA